rnacentral:rRNA from 1 species
UACGGAGGAUGCGAGCGUUAUCCGGAUUUAUUGGGUUUAAAGGGUGCGUAGGCGGGCUUUUAAGUCAGCGGUAAAAAUUCGGGGCUCAACCCCGUCCGGCCGUUGAAACUGGGGGUCUUGAGUGAGCGAGAAGAAGGCGGAAUGCGUGGUGUAGCGGUGAAAUGCAUAGAUAUCACGCAGAACCCCGAUUGCGAAGGCAGCCUUCCGGCGCCCUACUGACGCUGAGGCACGAAAGUGCGGGGAUCGAACAGG